GGGCCUGUAGCUCAGCCUGGAAGAUGAUUAAUCUUGGCUAUGGAGAGCACACGACUGAAGAUCGUGUGGUCGUGAGUUCAAAUCUCACCGGGCCCA
rnacentral:tRNA from 1 species